AGUAGCUGGUUCCCUCCGAAGUUUCCCUCAGGAUAGCUGGUGCAUUAUAAUAUUAUGUUAAAUAAUCUUAUCUGGUAAAGCGAAUGAUUAGAGGCCUUAGGGUCGAAACGACCUUAACCUAUUCUCAAACUUUAAAUGGGUAAGAACCUCACCUUUCUUGAUAUGAAGGUUGAGGUUAUGAUAUAAUGUGCCCAGUGGGCCACUUUUGGUAAGCAGAAUUGGCGAUGUGGGAUGAACCAAACGUAAUGUUACGGUGCCUAAAUUAACAACUCAUGCAGAUACCAUGAAAGGCGUUGGUUGCUUAAAACAGCAGGACGGUGGACAUGGAAGUCGUAAUCCGCUAAGGAGUGUGUAACAACUCACCUGCCGAAGCAACUAGCCCUUAAAAUGGAUGGCGCUUAAGUUGUAUACCUAUACAUUACCGCUAAAGUAGAUGAUUUAUAAUACAAUUUCGAUUGAAUUAUAAAUUUUGAAACUUUAGUGAGUAGGAGGGUACAAUGGUGUGCUUAGAAGUGUUUGGCGUAAGCCUGCAUGGAGCCGCUAUUGGUACAGAUCUUGGUGGUAGUAGCAAAUAAUCGAAUGAGACCUUGGAGGACUGAAGUGGAGAAGGGUUUCGUGUGAACAGUGGUUGAUCACGAGUUAGUCGGUCCUAAGUUCAAGGCGAAAGCCGAAAAUUUUCAAGUUUUAAUGC
rnacentral:rRNA from 1 species